rnacentral:rRNA from 1 species
GACGAACGCUGGCGGCGUGCUUAACACAUGCAAGUCGAACGGAAAGGCCCUGCUUUUGUGGGGUGCUCGAGUGGCGAACGGGUGAGUAACACGUGAGUAACCUGCCCUUGACUUUGGGAUAACUUCAGUAAACUGGGGCUAAUACCGGAUAGGAGCUCCUGCUGCAUGGUGUGGGUUGGAAAGUUUGGGCGGUUGGGGCUGGACUCGCGGCUUAUCAGCUUGUUGGUGGGGUAGUGGCUUACCAAGGCUUUGACGGGUAGCCGGCAUGAGAGGGUGACCGGCCACAUUGGGACUGAGAGACGGCCCAGACUCCUACGGGAGGCAGCAGUGGGGAAUAUGGCACAAUGGGCGGAAGCCUGAUGCAGCAAUGCCGCGUGCGGGAUGACGGCCUUCGGGUUGUAAACCGCUUUCGCCUGUGACGAAGCGUGAGUGACGGUAAUGGGUAAAGAAGCACCGGCUAACUACGUG